AAAUAAAAAUCGGUGUUGUUGCUGCCUUUCGUGGUGACGCGUCGGAAUUGGGUCGUCUUACCUUCGGUUAAGUGACUUAAAAUUUUGUAUGAUUUUCGAACGUAUUUAAAUUGCUUACGUACGUUUGAGAUAUCGAAUGUUUAUUAGGUUCGGUCAUUCUCAUGACUCGCGCCUAUAAUUUUUCAUU
rnacentral:misc_RNA from 1 species